CAUGUCCCGGUUGCUGUGGUU
rnacentral:siRNA from 1 species